GAAUCCUCUCCACCCGGCUCCAGGCAGCUUAUAAGAGAGGCACUCAGACCAGCGAUCUCACCGCAGGCCCGCACUUGCGUGGGAGACGGGCUAUUUUGUCGAGGCCCCGUGAAAACUUUUCCUUCCUCCCAUCUGAUAGGGUUGCUAUUUCCUUUACAGUACGAAGAGCGAAGAGCGGAGGUGCGGCUCCCAUCCCCCCACCCCCGCCACAUGGUGAAGGCCCAGAGCGAGAAAAGAGGCAGACCAGCGGCUGAUUACGUAACCAGACUUGUCAAGUUGUGGCCAGAGGGUGACCAUGUGGAUUUCGUUUCUAAAUGCUGAGCCCACGAACCGCACCCACCCCUGCACCCCAGCCCCCUUUGCUCUCCAUUGAUUGAAGAGAUGGCUCUGUCUUCGUUCUGGGGCCAGCAAGCAGCCCUGCCUCUGGCCAGGUUUGUUCCUCAAUGACUGCUGCGGAAAAACCACGGGGAGCCGUCUGCUCUUCUGCAGAAGGAAGCCAAGGACCUGAUUGGAAACGUUACCUCUCAGAAGCAUCAUUGUUGCAGGGAUCUUUCUAGGAGGAAGAGAGGAGGAGAGCUGCCCAUCCCCAGGGUGGGUGUGCAGAGCUGGACCUCUGCAUCUGCCCCAGAAACGCUCAGGACCUGGUUGGCAGGAUGCUGGCCUCCAGGGUCACACGACCAGUGAGUGUCCACCGUGCCCUGUCCAACAGGUCCCUACUCACUCGAAGGAAUGAGGCUGACUUCUGGGGAUGAUUUAUAACCCCCAUUUAUGUGAUGCAACAAUAAAACUUUGAGUUUGGCAGGGCGAUGAAGGCUGCCAAGGCCGAAAUAUGAACGUGAUAUUGUUAAGCUAAAGAAAAUGCAUCUAUAAAUCACAUUACACAUCCUGAUGCAGAUUUCAGAUUCAUGUUCUCAAGCUGACAGCAUUUUGGAUGCUGAAACCAGUUUCGUGGAACGGUCACACGAAAAACAAAACUGCAUCCAAAAAAAAAAAGAAAAGAAAUUAAAAAAAUUGGGGUGGGGUGGAAAGAAAGGGGGCCUACAUAGAGAGUCCUUGUCUCUGUAUGUGUAAAUGCCAGGUAGGGACGGAAACCAAAGGAGCUCAUUUCACAGGAUGGGUCACUAGGAUAACUAGAGUUCACUGAGCAUUUACUAUAUGCCAGGGGUGAUGCCGGGGGCUUUUAGAGAGUAUUUCACACAAUCCUCACAAUAUCACGACAGGGUAAGUCUCACAUUGCAGGGGAGACAACAGAAGGGAAGUGAUGUCAUCACCCAGGUGGUUCAGCUUUCCGGGGGUGGAGACUAGACCCCAGCCCAAGCAGCCUGGCUCCACGGCCCCUGCAUACCCACCUCGCUGUCCAGGUGGGGCAAGAAGAUAUAAUGGAAGGAUUCUCUUCCUUAGCACCCGAGAGACCCGCAGGCCAUCAUCCCCACCCGCUCCCAGCGGGGCUCGGCAUCUGCUUCUGCAGAAUGAGGAUGAUGAAAAGCUCACGCCCUAGAGUUGUCCUUGGGAUCACAUUCGAUUUCCUCUGAUAAAAGUGUUGAUCGACUACAGGGCUUACUGCCCAGGAGGUGUGAGUUUGCCAGCGUCUCGUGUUUCCUCUGCUUCCUCCUACGGAAAGGGAACUUGACUUGGGUUUGCUCUCCGCAAGUGCAAUGUCACUUCCUGAUGGGGACUGGAAACCAGUGCUGUGGGGAAAUAGCCCCAUGCACGGGGCAAGCGUUCUUUGGUUGGAGCCCAGUUGGGCAUAGGUGAUGACUGGCCUUCGACAUGGUGGCUGACCAGGAUAGGACAGAUAACCUCUGUCUAAAAGGUCAUUCAUUCAGGAACCAGUCAAUUGCUCCUACCAAUUGUCCCAUCUAUCUGAUUAGAGGAUCAUGCUGAAUGGGACAGCAAAAAGGGACAGGCAUCGGGGUGGCACAUGAGGGACACUUGCUCAGGGUCUGAAUCUCUACGAAGACAAGACAUGGCUUUGUGUCCCUUAGUGCAGGGUGAGCUCAGCCUGGGAGGGUGAGCCCUGAAUUGGGUUCCCAGCCCAUGUGAAUCAAGCGGGAGCUCCCAGUUUUGCCCAUGGAUUGUCGCAGCCCAUCCGCUGAUAACGUGGGCACUGCAUGUUAUUAUUCCCUUAGGGUGGUCCCCUAGGAUUUAGCGGAGCACUGAAAACAAAAUUGAAUCAGAAUUUGUUACAAAUAAUACAAAUACACUGUGAAAACUCAAACAACAUAAAAUGGAUCUCUAAAGAAAAUUCUCUCUUACAGCAAGAGUGAAUUAUUUGUAUCUUACUGCUAAUUAUUUGUAUCCCUCCUUCCAGAAAUAGACUAGAUGUUAUCAAGAGUGUAUGUUUGUCCCUUUUGGGUGAUGCAUUGUCCUGCAUCUUUUUAUUUUUAAUUAACCAUUCAGUUAUUGGCUCUCUUGCAUUGGUUUAUUUAGAGUGACCUCUCUCGCUCUCACUCUCCUUCUUUUUUUUUUUUUUUCAUGACUGAAUAAUUCUCUAUGAGUGACUGGAUUACCAUCUAGUUUGUAACUCCUGUUUAGCUGAACAUUCAGGCUAUGAAAGAUUUUCUCCAUUAUCAUACUGAUGCUUCAAUGAAAAUCUGAAGACCAAGGCUCUGCAUACUUUUAUUUUUAUUUUAUUUAUUUAUUUUUGCUUUUUAGGGCCACACCCUCAGCAUAUGGAGCUUCCCAGGCUAGGGGUCCAGUCAGAGCUACAACCACUGGUCUAUGCUACAGCCACAGCAAUGCCAGGUCUGAGCCAUGUCUGCGACCUGCACCACAGCUCACGGCAACACUGGAUCCUUAACCCACUGAGUGAGGCCAGAGAUGGAACCUGCAACCUAGUCGGAUUCAUUUCCACCAUGCCACCGGGAACUCUGCUACAUGCUUUUAAUGUCGAUACUUUAUUGCUGAAUUGCCCCUUAGGAAGGUCGAGUGAAUUUAAACCCUGGUGUGGCAGAAUCUAUUUCUCUUGCCAACACUUUUUUAAAGUUCACAACAUUCUCCAUCCUGAUGGGCGAAUUGAUCACCUUGCUAUUCUGAGCUGCACUAACUGUUGGUGAGAAUUAGAAUCUUAGGUCCCGCAGGCAAUGUAGAUGUCUCCUUAUGUUGGUUGUCUGCCCAUCACCUUUACCCACUGAACAUAUUUCGUCAUAUAUAUAUUUUUUUUCUUUUUUGGGCUCACCUGUGGCACAUGGAAGUUCCCAGGCUAGGGGUCAAACCGGAGCUGCAGCUACAGACCUACAACACAGCUCUAGCAACACGGGAUCCAAGAUGCAUCUGUGACCUACACCGCAGCUUGCAGCAAUGCCAGAUCCUUAACCCAUUGAGCAAGGCCAGGGAUUGAACCCGCAUCCUCAUGGAUACUAAUUGGGUUCUUUUCUCAGUUUUGUGAUUGUUCUUACAGAAAUUUAAAUUUUUUUUUUUUUUGUAUUUUUCAGGUUAUCAAACAUUUCCUUCACAGAGUCUCCAUCUUUUUUGUCUCAGAAAUAAGACUUUCCAGAGUUUCAGUUGUGACUGGCCUGGGAACUUCCAUAUGCCACAGGUAUGGCCUUAAAAAUAAAAAAUAAAAAGAAAAGAAAAGAAAUAAGACUUUCCCCAAGAGAAGAUUAUAGCAAAACAUGAUUUACCAUGUUUUAUCCUAUCUUUUCAUUUUAUCUAAAAAAAUUUUUUUGGGGACCUCACCCAUGGCAUAUCGAAGUUCUCAGGCUAGGGGUGAAUUGGAGCUGCAGCUGCCGGUCUACACCACAGCCACGGCAACACCAGAUCCAAGCCACACCUGCGACCUACACCACAGCUCAUGGUAAGGACAGAUCCUUAACCCACUGAAAAAGCCCAGGGAUCGAACCUGCAUCCUCAUAGAUGCCAGCCUGGUUUGUUAUGGCUGAGUCACUAUGGGAACUCCCUAUUUUUUUAUACAUAUUAAACUUUUUUUUAACAUUUUAAAACAUCUAAUACAUUUUAAACAUUUUAUACUAUUUUUUAAUAGCCUUAUCCCCUCCCCGCAAAAAACUAUGGUAGUGCCCAGGUCCACCUGAGCUAAGGGAGACAGAGAAAGGCUCCUGCCUCAGCCAGAUGGAAGCAGGGGCCUCCUAACUGGUCACAGAGGAACAGAGGUGAGGAAAUUUUCUGGGAGGGUAGGGUCUGAAGACACCCCCCCACUCCCCCCCCACCUUAUGCCCUCUGGCCAAAGCUUCUUAUAGGGAGUUCUUGACAGCUCUCAUUUUAGAGGGGCUUUUUGAUUGGUUCCCAAGAAAAUCGUUUCUUUUUAUGACUCCCAAAUCAGGCAAUCGAUUAGUCUGGUCAAGCCCUAAACAGAACAGCUGUCCUCACAUCCCAAGCAUAGCUAGAGAAGGAGUUGUGACAAACCAUAACACAUGGGUGGGGAAUUGUCUAGCGGGCACUGGCAUUGACCAGGAGCAACCCGGGGUGACUCAAAUGGCUGUGGGCGUCAGAGGACAGUGGACCUUUGACGUGGAAAAAGAGAGGGCGGGAAGAUGGCGAGAUGGUGGGCUGGGGUGGACAAGGAGUCCCUGGCCUGGAGAAGCUCCCAGACCAGUGGGUGAAUCAGACUUGGAACAGGCAGUUUUCACCUAAGUGCCCCCAUGGAACAGGGCUGGAGGAGGCGGUUGGAGGCAUCCAGGGCCCCUCCCUCCCCAAGCAACAGGAUUUGAUUCCAUGCGAUUCUUCUUGGCCAGGCAGGAUGGAGAGGAUCCCAGGGCCAGGUCUCGUCUGGAUCCUUCCAUGCUCUCCUACAAGGCCGGGGAGGCGGUGCAUUCACCACCAGCCUCUCCUCUCAUCCAGAUGCUGCCCCCGCCUCAACUGGCGUUUGAAUAAUGCAGCUUUGGCGGGAGGCGGGGUGGGUCCUAGGCACUUCCUGCCCCGCUGCCCCCCUGUACGCUGGUGCUGCUGCAUAAUGAUCUGGGUUGGCUCGAAAGAAGGAAACUUGGUUCAAAAUGUAUGAGUUCAUUUUUAUGUUCUACUGAGAAAAUUUAUUCAGUGUGAUGCUCGGUAGCGAAUGCCGUAAAACACCUUAAUCCCUGGUUGAAGAAAGGUAAUACCUUGACAGAUGUGUGCCUCCUACUUUCCUCCCGGCCAUGUUUCAACAACAAACCUUUAUUUCUGCUUCUCUGCUGUAGCAGGGAAGAGAAGAAAAAAAAAAAAAAUGAGGAGAGCAAUAAAGCAGUCAGAAAUCUCAGGAGCCAGGCGGCGAUGCAAUCGUAAUGACAGAUUUUUAAUGUGGCGGGAGAGAUUGACAGGGAAAUGUCUUCGGAGCAAACGCUUGCCAGAUGGAAUGCAAACGGUUUAUUGGAGUAGAGAGGGGCAGCUGAACCGCGGAGAGUGCGGGCGGAAGGUGGUCUUUCUGGCUGCUGCAAGUAAACACACCAGAGCGGGGGAAGGAGGGGGAGAAGAGAUUUUAAAAAAUCAAUUCAUUAAUUGAGAAGAGGCGAGAGAAAGGCAUCUAGGUGGACCCCAGAUACGCCUUGCAGAAAUGGAAUGGGCAUGUCCUCAAGCCCCAACUUGCAAACUGCACAUCAGGUCCGCAGAAGCAGAGACGGAGGAGAGAAUCACAUUUGGAAGUAGGAAGAUCUGGAUUCCAGGCUACGGCUGGGCUGGUUAAAUCCAGAAAGUUCGUGUGCCUCUCGAAGCUCGGGUUUGCCUGUAACUUCCGGUCCUUCUGAUGGUGCAGAUGAUAUUUUGUUGUUGUUGUUCUCCAAUCAUUUGCCGCAUCUGCUUGGUGCCCACUCAUGGACCAGGUACCACAGGCAGAAAGGGAAGGAUGGUUCCGUCCUGGAGAUUUUCAGUGAGAGACGCAUGCAUAGCAUUUAUUGAAUUUGAUCUCUGUGAAAAGAAAACUCAUUUAUUAUUAAAUUGUAUCAUGUAUAUUAAAAUUGUACUAUUGUA
rnacentral:lncRNA from 1 species